rnacentral:rRNA from 1 species
CCUACGGGGAGCAGCAGUGAGGGAUAUUGGUCAAUGGACGAGAGUCUGAACCAGCCAAGUAGCGUGAAGGAUGACUGCCCUAUGGGUUGUAAACUUCUUUUAUAUGGGAAUAAAAUGUUCCACGUGUGGGAUUUUGUAUGUACCAUAUGAAUAAGGAUCGGCUAACUCCGUGCCAGCAGCCGCGGUAAUACGGAGGAUCCGAGCGUUAUCCGGAUUUAUUGGGUUUAAUGGGAGCGUAGGUGGAUUGUUAAGUCAGUUGUGAAAGUUUGCGGCUCAACCGUAAAAUUGCAGUUGAAACUGGCAGUCUGGAGUGCAGUAGAGGUGGGCGGAAUUCGUGGUGUAGCGGUGAAAUGCUUAGAUAUCACGAGGAAUUCCGAUUGCGAAGGCAGCUCACUGGACUACAACUGACACUGAGGCUCGAAAGUGUGGGUAUCAAACAGGAUUAGAUACCCGGGUAGUC